UACGUAGGUGGCAAGCGUUGUCCGGAUUUACUGGGCGUAAAGAGCGCGCAGGCGGUCGUUCAAGUCGCGUGUGAAAGCCCCCGGCUCAACUGGGGAGGGUCACGCGAUACUGAUCGACUCGAAGGCAGUAGAGGGUAGUGGAAUUCCCGGUGUAGUGGUGAAAUGCGUAGAUAUCGGGAGGAACACCAGUGGCGAAGGCGACUACCUGGCCUGUUCUUGACGCUGAGGCGCGAAAGCUAGGGGAGCAAACGGG
rnacentral:rRNA from 1 species